rnacentral:rRNA from 1 species
GAUGAACGCUGGCGGCGUGCCUAAUACAUGCAAGUCGAGCGAACGGACGAGAAGCUUGCUUCUCUGAUGUUAGCGGCGGACGGGUGAGUAACACGUGGAUAACCUACCUAUAAGACUGGGAUAACUUCGGGAAACCGGAGCUAAUACCGGAUAAUAUUUUGAACCGCAUGGUUCAAAAGUGAAAGACGGUCUUGCUGUCACUUAUAGAUGGAUCCGCGCUGCAUUAGCUAGUUGGUAAGGUAACGGCUUACCAAGGCAACGAUGCAUAGCUGACCUGAGAGGGUGAUCGGCCACACUGGAACUGAGACACGGUCCAGACUCCUACGGGAGGCAGCAGUAGGGAAUCUUCCGCAAUGGGCGAAAGCCUGACGGAGCAACGCCGCGUGAGUGAUGAAGGUCUUCGGAUCGUAAAACUCUGUUAUUAGGGAAGAACAUAUGUGUAAGUAACUGUGCACAUCUCGACGGUACCUAAUCAGAAAGCCACGGCUAACUACGUG